rnacentral:lncRNA from 10 species
GGGCAGGGUUGUGAGGGCUCACAGCCCCAUGGCCAUGGACUGCUUCCAAACGACAGGUGCCUUCUGUUGGGCUCGUAGAGUGUUUUAUGUUUUUUUGAAAGUACGAAGUUUCCAACAUUUAAAAAUUAAAUAAUUUCACCUAAAAAUAUGGAUUUGCUGGCUCCUUUUGAGAGGCUGGAAGAGGAGGCAGCAGUUCUGGCUCCAACACCCACUGGGAAAGGCUGCCUGUCUGCUCAGAUGGCACUUAUCUGCCCCCUGACUGCUCAGAUGGUGCUCAGCUGUCCCCUGGCCGCAGUCCUCACCCCGCCCUGGUGCUCUCUUCGGCCCAGCCUAAGGACAAGUGCUACCUGUCACCUACUUCUUACUGUCCUUGCCAGAGAAACGGACAUUCUCACUUUUGUAUCUCUAUGUCUCUAUCAAAGUGGAAACAGGAAAGAGUUUAAGAAAUACACAUCUUUCCAGGAAGAUGGGAACAACCGACUUUCUUUACAAACGAAGCAGUUCUCAGGACUGGGUUGCUGCUGCUGCUCACCUGCCGCUGGUCGCUGGGGCUGAGAGGGGCGUUACAGACCCAUUUUACAGAAGAGGAGAAGCCCAUGGUGCAACUGUCUUGGUGGUGAAGGUGGCAGUAGCUCUCACACACUGAGCCCUGGGGUGUAAGAGUUCACUGCACGGUCUCCAGGACUCGUGUAAUCCUCAUGAGAACCCUGCCAGCUACAUAUCUUGUCCUGACACAACAGAGGCGUGAGGGGCUGCAGUGACUCUCACCCAGCCAGGUCUACUUCGAUGAUCCUCGCUGCAACCACUAUGCUUUGGGUCUCUGUUACUCAACACCUACCUUGCCAACACCUAGAAUAGGGUUCAGCCAAGUGGCUGUGGCGAAUGUGGGCUACGUGAGGAUCCUGCUCCAUAAAGACCCCACUCUGGGCUGUCAUUCAGAAUUACUCUGGAAAGAAAGUUGUGGUUCAGCGUGUCGCUUACUGCCAGCGAUCAAAGCAUCCAGGUUUAAUUUUGCCAAUCCCUGGGGGUCCUCGACAUCAGAGGGGCUGGUGGUUGUUGAUCCAUACACAAGCUAGGAGGUAAGGAAGACCCCGGCCCCCCCCGGCUGCUGUCCCCCACACCACUGGAAGACCGGAUGCUGGGCCUUCUGUUUCUCUCCAGGUGUGUGGGCUCGCCCGUGAGAUGGCCUCUUGUUGGAGGGAACACUGGGUCCUGCACCCCCAGGGAAGCUCCCGCGAGGACCGAUUAAACAGUGUUGUCAAUGUCACCAAGACUGCUCUGUAUAAACCAAAUGAAGGCCCUCAGGUCAGAUGAGAUAAUAAAGAGGAUAUUUCUACAGAGAUUCAGUGGGAAUCAAUUCAGUAAGAAAUUAGGAGGAAAAUAAACGGCCCUGAUCACCGAGGGGCCCCGCAGCUGCUCUGUCCUCACGUUUUCUAUCCCGUCAAGCCCUGAGCGACAAGGCAUGUGCUCAAGCAGGAGGCUCGGCUGCCCUUGGUGGGUAUCGGGGUGAGUAUCUGCACCUCCUUCCCUGAUCGGGAGACUUUAUGUCAAUCCACUGGCUUUACUUAGUGCAGUGACACAGGGGAUGGUGGAGGGGCUAAUGGAAGACGAAUGCAUCUGACAUUUCUAGAGCACCGUGGGGGGCCAGUGUUUCUACCCCGCUAGGAAAUAAAUGUGCAAUACCGAGUUUCUGAUGAAUACUGUGAGAAACAGUCCAAGGUUCAAAUUUAACAGCACGGGAAAAUGUCUUUUGAAUCAGAAGAUGAGAACCCAAGGGAGUUGAAUUAACAACAUAGCACAACAUUUUACCAAGUAAUAGGACCAUAUUUCCCCUUUAUGGGGCACUGCUCAGGGCAAUAUUUAAUCUCUUGAGUUUAAUGAACUUUUGAAACUACUCAAUAAAUACUCAAGGCCAUGACAAGCACUGUCAUAAGAUAAAUCCAGCCCUACUUCAAUGGACUAUAUCAUUUCUGUUAUUAAAAAAGGUUAAUUUUAAUAUUCAAGGAACUCAGUUCUCUGGAAAAUCACGUCGGGGCGCCGUGCGUUCCAUCCCGGUGGCGCCCUGUGAUCAUGCAUACUGAGCAGCGUGGGACUCCGAGCGGAAUCGCAGGGGAGCCUCUGCUUCCAGGGAGGCUGCGUCCUGACAGCAAAACACUCGUUUGGUGGAAGGAUCUGCCUCGGGUUCCUGUCCCUCCCCAGCCCAGAGGCAGCAUGUCCGGGUCCCGUGUUAAGGCCACUCACACUGCACGUUAAACCACUGGAGGAGUCCCUGUGACCGUGUCACAUGCCCGGGUUCACCUCCUGCAGCACGGGCUGCCCGACCACCACUUGGUCCUGCAAAGCUCUCUAGGCCUUUCUCCACAGCCCCCGCGAUGCUGAAACCCACGGCAAGCGAGGCGGGGGAAGGGUUGAGAAGUAGCCAGCUCUCCCCUAUCCCAUAAUAUCUCCAUGCUGAGUCACUGGGGCUGUCUUUCUCCCAAUUGCUCAUCUUUGCCUUUCUGCACAAUGCAGGCAGGGGGAAGUGUACCUGGCAGAAAAAAAUCCCAGAGCCCUGCAGGCCCCGGAGCUGCUGUCCCUCCUAGCGUCUCAGUGUACCCAAGGGCUUGCCUCAGGAAAGCUGCCUGACACCAGCAAAUUGGAUGCAGGGCAGGUAAUUAGGGACAGACAAUAUCCUCCCACUGUUAUUUCUUGUCCACCUACGCAAAAGAAGCAGAAGCACUGGUUCUCCGCUUUUCUACCUAAGGAUCGUUCUGCUCACAUUCCCCACGGGAGAGAAGAAGAGCUUUGGACCAACUGUCUUACUAACCAAGCACAGACAUGCUGCAACCAGGAAACAUCCCACAGGAAAUGAGACCAACAGAUACAAAACACACAGCUUUGCUGUCUAAGAAGGAGCCUCCUCUGUUUAGACAAUUGCUGAGCCCCUUACGCCACACGUGCAGAGUGGUGGGGCAUGUGUCUAGCCCUGGCGAUGUCCCUUAGUCCAAUAAAGCGGUUCGGAGGGCGCAGGUGGUGGACAUUCUCAUCUACCGCAGGAAGUGCCCUGGCUAGCAGGUCACCCACAAAAACCAGCUGCCCCCCACCUUUCUCCUGACGCAAGUGUCAGAUCAGAUAGGUUUAGCAAGUCCGGACCCAGCCCAGCCCCGACGGCUUCCAGGCCCCUCAAUACAGCACUCAGCCCCUCUCCCUAAAUGGCACUAAUUCUGUCCACUUGAGUAAAUUAUUGCGUUCCUGGGCUCACUUACUUGGCAAACCACAGAGUGGGCACAUCUUGGGGGUGUUUUCUAGAACAAAUGUCCAAGUGCUCUGAGGCCUGAGGCUGCGUGCAGACCUUCAACCUGGCACCCCAAAAUUCCCCAUGCAGGACAAAAAGAAGCAGACAGGAGCAGUGUGCUGUGGUCAGGCUACCCCCCACUGCGGCACUGCCUCCUCUUCCCCAGCUU